rnacentral:lncRNA from 1 species
GCCCCCGCUCCUCUCGCCCAGCACUUCUUCCCCCUGAAGGAAAGCGACGGGUGCGGAACGGCGGUAACCGCAGCCUCCCCUCCUCGCCCCCACCGCCACCCGACGCCGAAACGGUCGGCACCGGCCCUUCCCUCAGCGAGCGGCCGAGCGCGGCACCCGGCGCCGGUGACGUGGGCACGGGGCGGCCGCCACGGCCGUGGGCGGGAGGCGGUGCCGUGCUGGGCUUAAAGCUUCCGCCCCCGACCGGAGAGCGCUGUGGGCGUUGGAGUUGUGGAGUUGCAGAGGUACCCAUUCUCUUCAAGAACCACCUUACAGUGACUACCCUGCUUUUUGACUGCAUACUAUUAAUGUGGAGUCCCCAUUGUGUCUAGUACAGAACCUUCUGAAAACAGAAGCCUUGAAUCAGGUCUUUGGAUAUGAAGUCUGAAAAGAAUUCCAACGUGCCUCCAGGGACACAUAUCCAGUUAAGUUAUUAGUUCCUUCUCUGCUUUUAUGUCUCUCCCUUCUGUACUUGACUUCCCCUGAAGUCUGCUUUUUGUCUUCCAGUCUAUCACUUUUAUACCCACACAUUUCCAGAAUCGUUUUUAGAAUUUAACAACAAAUGCUAUGCAUAUUUGACAGACUUUUUAUGGCAAGAGUUGAGUAAAAGUUGAUGCCCAUUCAUAUAAAAGCUGAAGUCCACAUGAAAUACAGUAAAGCUACUAAGCUCCAAUAAUCAAGUAGAAAUGUUGCUGUGAUAAUGGAUUUAUUUCAUGAGCUCAUCAGGUUUCUUAUCCUACCUAGUUUCUCACUGCAAAGAGCCAGGGUACCUUCACCCAUUUUUCCCUCUAACCUGUAUUCUAAGUUUCCCUCUCUUUACCUCAGACAUAUCAUCAUCCUCCAGUAGACUUAGAACAGAAACAUUAUUCAUAUUAACUGUCUUUUUCAUUCCAACAACAACACUUUUAGCAUUUUGCAGUUUUUCUUCAUAUUGAGAAAUAUCCCACAGUACAACCUACAAUGAGAAAGGAGUAUAUUAUUAUUUCAUUCUUUGUAUUAAUACUCAUUUUUUCAAAUACAAUUCAUGUUUUUUUUCUCUGGGGAGAAAUAAGAAAUUCAUUCUCUGUACUAGAAUUUAUGAAGACUUUUACAGCAUCACCUCUUUAGUGUGGUGCCAUAAGUUGAAAGACUAUACUUAUGUCAACGACAACAAAAAGAAAAAGAAAAAGCCUGCAUAUUUGACAUAUUUUGAUUUUUAAUGUAUUUUAUUGAUGUACUGCAAACAACCGUCUUGAAGUAAUGGCUCAAUUCAGGAAUAAUCAGAACAUAGCAGAAUUUCUAUAAUUCAUUUCACAAGAAAAGUUCAGGGAACUGUAAACUCUCCCUCAACUGCAAAACUGGAGAGAAAACUUCCCUACUCAUAGAAAUGACUAAUUCUGUUAUUUGAGUUCUGAAUUCUUGAGACUUUGAUAUCUUUUGUGAUAGUGAUUAUAGUUGUUGAGUACAUCUUUUCAACCUUUUUUUAUACUGUAAGAAAAGACAGAAAUAUCCGAUUUUAUUCUUAAACGAAAUUAAUACCUGUCCACUGAAGCAGCCACCAGCAAUAAUGUUUGGAUCACUUGGGCUGAACUGAAAGCAGUAAAUGUCGUCAGGACACUCUAAUAUUAACUGAGAAGAAGAAAAAAACAAAUAGUUAAGAAAUACAGUCAUAUUUUCUCUUUUUAUAUGAACACUUGGGGUAUGUAAAAGUCUUGAUUAUAUACCUGAGGGUGGAUAGGGUCAAAAAAGCUCCAGAAAAUGAUUACUGAG